rnacentral:rRNA from 1 species
GCUGGCGGCGUGCUUAACACAUGCAAGUCGAGUGCGCGUCUGUAGCAAUACAGAUGGCGCACGGCGCACGGGUGCGUAACACGUGGGCAAUCCGCCCUUCGAUGGGGAAUAUCUUCGGGAAACCGAAGCGAAUUCCGCAUAACAUUCCUUGGACUUCGGUUUGGGGACUCAAAGCCGUAAGGCGUCGAAGGAGGAGCCCGCGCACGAUUAGCUAGUUGGUAGGGUAACGGCCUACCAAGGCUUUGAUCGUUAGCUGGUCUGAGAGGAUGGCCAGCCACACUGGAACUGAGACACGGUCCAGACUCCUACGGGAGGCAGCAGUGGGGAAUCUUGCACAAUGGGCGAAAGCCUGAUGCAGCGACGCCGCGUGGGGGAUGAAGCAUCUCGGUGUGUAAACCCCUUUCGACCCGGAAGAAUGCCUCGCAAGAGGACUGACGGUACGGGUAUAAGAAGCCCCGGCUAACUACGUGCCAGCAGCCGCGGUAAGACGUAGGGGGCCAGCGUUGUUCGGAAUUACUGGGUGUAAAGGGUUCGUA